AGUCUGUUGUUUUUUAUAAUAGAUUUUUUCUGCCCGGUGAUUGUUUAAACGGCCGCGGUAUUCUGACCGUGCAAAGGUAGCAUAAUCAUUUGUUCUUUAAUUGGGGACUUGUAUGAAGGAAAGGUUGAGGCCUUAUUUGUCUCUUUUUUGGUUUAGAAUUUGCUUUUUGUGUGAAGAAGCAUGAGUUUAUAAAAAAGACAAGAAGACCCUUUUAAGCUUUAUUUUUAAUUUUGCUUUUAUUUGUUUUGAAAUAUUUUAUGAGCAGUAGUUAAAAUUUAGUUGGGGUGACUAAAGAAGAGGAAAUCUUCUUUUUAAAGCAGAACUAUGUGUUUGAUAAAGACCCAAGAUUUUUUGGUUAAGAGAAUUAGUUACUAAAGGGAUAACAGCGUAAUCUUUUCAAAGAGUUCUUAUUGAAGAAAAGGAUUGCGACCUCGAUGUUGACUUGCUUUUUCCUUUUAAGGUGCAGAAGCUGAAAGGGUUGGUCUGUUCGACCAUUAAAAUAGU
rnacentral:rRNA from 1 species